UACGUAGGGCGCAAGCGUUUGUCCGGAAUUAUUGGGCGUAAAGAGCGCGCAGGCGGCUUGGCAAGUCGGGUGUGAAAUCCCGGGGCUCAACCCCGGGACUGCAUUCGAUACUGUCAGGCUAGAGGUAGGUAGGGGAGAUCGGAAUUCCUGGUGUAGCGGUGAAAUGCGCAGAUAUCAGGAGGAACACCGUGGCGAAAGCAGCUUUCUGGGACGGUACUGACGCUGAGACGCGAAAGCGUGGGGAGCGAACAGG
rnacentral:rRNA from 1 species